rnacentral:rRNA from 1 species
AAAAGCCUACCAAGGCCACGAUCAGUAGCCGACCUGAGAGGGUGAUCGGCCACAUUGGAACUGAGACACGGUCCAAACUCCUACGGGAGGCAGCAGUGGGGAAUAUUGCACAAUGGGCGAAAGCCUGAUGCAGCAACGCCGCGUGAGCGAUGAAGGCCUUCGGGUCGUAAAGCUCUGUCCUUGGGGAAGAAAAAAUGACGGUACCCUGUGAGGAAGCACCGGCUAACUAC